UUAACUAUUAUAUAGUAUUCAGACGACACUAAUAUUCAGGGUUUUGGGUCCUCUGGCGGGCGCUUACCAGCCGGGGCCGGUAGUCGGGCCGGAGCCUAACGGCCCGCCAAAGCAACAAAGUAAUAAUAACAUAGGGUGGGAAUUCUACCCGGUAAGGGGAACUCGUUAAUGAUCCCUCCGCAGGUUCACCUACGGAGA
rnacentral:misc_RNA from 1 species